GGACAAACAAAAGUAGCGUCGUCUCCAUCGAACCAGUUGUCAGUGGCAACAUAUAGGAAUCGUGUACAUUUCUUCGUUUCUUCUUUGCUGUUUUCAGUGAGUGUUUUGUUUUCUCUUUGUCCUUGAUCUCGACGGUGUUGUCGUGCUCAUUACCUUACUGAGACGUCUCUUGUGACUGUAGCCAGUGUCACGGAGGAUUUUAUUGGCGUGACGAGGUAGAUCGCCGAGAUCGAGUGUGAAAAAUGCUCUGCAUUAGUAGCUCCUGUAGAAUGUCUUCUAGGAUGGCGUAUCCAUGGUCAACAAAGCCAAGGUGCAAGACAGCAUAAGAGAUCGUGUAAACGAUGUGAACUCCAAAAGAUAAUCUGGACAAAUAAAUUAUAUUGUAACUGGAGAGUGCAAUCGUGCUUGGGACCCAUCCCAAUGGCAAUGCCAUCACAUGGCUGUGAUGACUAGUGUAUACCUGGGAGAGUUUUCCUCAACUGAGACGGAGUGUAGGUGGAUGGAUUAUGAGAAAUGCGAAGAUGUGGAGUUCAAGGCUAGAUGCACUUCACAUUCGGCAUGUGAUCUCGGCGUCUGGGACCUGAUAACGUCUUGGUUGGAUGGGUAAUCAAGGAUGAUACUACUCGGCACAUCAAUGUACAUGUCAAUGUAAUUUUUAAUUUUUCAGAGCUAUACUAUUUACGUCUUGAUGCUUACUUCGGUACUAGCGUGUUUCCCCCGGAUUAUUUCUAUCAUCAUGCGUGUUCUUGGGCUGAGCGAGCACAUGCACGAGUGUGCAGCUAUAACCCUGUGUAUCUUUGGUUACACUUUGUUCUGCAAUACAUGUACCUUGUAACAGUAUGUGCUUGCACUGCUUUGUGUGGCCUGCGUAUUUCAGGACUAUUCAGUGCAUUAGACCCAGGUUGGUUUGGUUGCCGGAUGAUCUCUUGUUGCGUCGCUCUGUGUUUUGUAUUCAUCAAUUUUUGGGCUUGAGAAUUGAGCUGGCGUGUGGUUCCCAAUAUGUAAACAUAAUGCUGGUGCUCUGUGUUUCGAUUAUCGACUGUCCGAGCAGUCACGAUUCAUUACCAGAACGGUCAAUACUGUAGUCUCUUCACGUGUUUGUCUUUUUGUGUUUUCGCCGGGGGAAUUAGCGGUGACGUUGCACAUAGAACGGCAGUGUUGCAUCACUGGACGACCCUGCCUCUGCAUCUGACUUCAUUUCCCCAGGAUCUGGUGC